GCUUCAAAAGUUUCAUUUUAUUCAAAGAGUGCUUUCCCGGGAGUAGUUGGUUGCAUCUACGGGACUCAUGUUCGCAUAAUUUCAACAAGAAAAGAAGAUCUUAACAGAAAGGGCUACUACGGUUUAAACGCGAUGAUUGUACAUAUCUUUGUGAUUAUAAGAUGUCUAUUCGGUAUGUGGAUGCUAGGCAUGCAGGCGCAAAUCAUGACUCUUUUGUUUUCAAUAUUAGCGAUUUGAAAGUGCAUUUACAGAACAACAUACAGAAUAACACUUGGAUCUUGGGCGACGCUGGCUAUCCUCUGCACAAAUUUUUAAUGACGCCUUAUCGCUUGGCGGAAGCUUCUUCACCCCAAGCACGCUACAAUACAGUACACUCAAAGGCCCGGAAUAUUGUAGAGCGGACAAUUGGUGUACUCAAGAGGUGAUUUCGAUGUCUUUUAUCUGUACGAGGUUUACAUUACACUCCCGAAAAGCUACGCAAAUUGUGAAUGCUUUGUGCGCAUUACACAAUAUUUGCCAACACUUUCAAGUGGAAUCUCCAGAAGAAAUACCAUCUACUUCACAUACUACAAUGACCAAUGAUAUUUUGGACAUAGAAAGAGAAGAAGAGGAUACGGCUCGAAUAAUUCGCAAUAAUAUUAUGACUUCCCUCUAAAUAAUUAAAAUAUUAAAUUUCAUUUAUUAUUUCUAAUGUGCUAUUUAU